rnacentral:lncRNA from 1 species
AACCCAUUAACGGAAACUGCAGAUAUCAAGUCCAAACUAUGGGGAAGAGCAGAGGGAUUGUAUGCAUCGGCUUCACAAGACGGAUCUGGGUUGUUAAUGGCGAUGAACUUCGCGUUUGUGAGUGGGAAGUACAAUGGAAGCUCCAUCACAAUAUUUGGAAGGAACCCAUUUUUGGAGAAAGUGAGAGAGAUGCCUGUGAUCGGUGGAAGUGGGUUGUUCAGAUUUGCGAGAGGGUAUGCGAAAGCUUCAACCGUUAAUAUUGAUUUCACAACAGGGGAUGCUGUCAUUGAAUAUAACAUUUACGUGCUUCAUUAUUGAAUUCUGCUCUUCUUUUUCUCUUUGUUGAAUUUUGAAUUUUGAAUAUUUGUUUUCAAUGUUAUAUUAUCUUUCAUUGUAUUUGAGUUCAUCUAUGUGUCGUGAAAAGGAUUAGAUAAAUUAACAAUGUUGUUUAUUACAAUGAUCUAUUCAACAAACUUUGUUGCAUGUCAAAGUAGUAAGAAGAAUAAAAGUUAGAUGAUAAUGAUAUAUACCAUCUUGAUGAUAACUAAAUCUAAAAAUUUAGAUGGUUUUUAAAACAUGAUUAGAAAUUAGAUAACAAACCAAGAACAUAAUGUGGAGUGUGCGUUGUGUAGGGGAAGACUUGAGUAGAGGCCGUGUGUAAGAGUCUAAAACAUAUUGAAAGCACCAAUGGACUUUUACACAAAACCCAAACUCAAUUAACCAAACAUUACUUCCAAUUCCAACAACCACAAUACAAUUUCAUGCCCCCACCCACACCAAAAUAGUAACAUUUGGUAAUUUGGUUUUCAAUACUAAAAGCACAAAAAACAAAAACAAAAGAAAGAAAAUGAGAAAUCAUAAUGAUGCUUUUGUUAGGUAUUUCAUGACACCCAUUGACCCACUCCAUUGAAAAAUUUUAAAAUUUGAAACAAAACCAUCAAUCAUAUCUGUCUUUAUAUAAUUGAAGUCAUGGAGAGCCUUUGGUUCACUAUCUGAAGUCUCAAACACAGAGUAACUUCAAAUUCUCCCAUUCCAUGGCUGGAAUCUCUCCCAUCUCCACCACCCACUUCCUCUUUCUCUCUUUCCUCCUCUUCUCUGCCGUAGCUUUGGCUGUAGCUGAAGAUCAAAAUUCCUUUGCAAGAACAGUGAACAGGAAACGGCUGGGUCUUAGAAAAGAGAAGCUCAGCCACUUCCGUUUCUACUGGCACGACGUUCUAACUGGAAAAUACCCAACCUCAAUCCAAAUCGUUCCCCCUGCUUCGAACACUUCAAUGACUGGAUUCGGUUUGGUUAACAUGAUCGACAACCCAUUAACAGAAACUCCAGAUCCCAAGUCCAAACUAUGGGGAAGAGCACAGGGAUUGUACGCGUCAGCUUCGCAAGACCAGUUUGGGUUGUUAAUGGCGAUGAACUUCGCGUUUGUGAGUGGGAAAUACAACGGAAGCUCCCUCACUAUAUUUGGAAGAAACCCAUUUUUGGAGAAAGUGAGAGAGAUGCCUGUGAUCGGUGGAAGUGGGCUGUUCAGAUUUGCGAGAGGGUAUGCAAAAGCCACAACCAAUAAGGUUGAUUUCAAAACAGG